rnacentral:lncRNA from 1 species
AUCAAUAUCUUCAUUAUCAUUUUGAUAUUCAACCUCAUUUUCCUCAUUAGAUAUAUUGAUGUAUUUAAAACUAACUGUUGGUGUUUAAUUUGUGGAUCAAAAUUUCAAGCUUGAGAGGAAAUUGACAUAACAAUACCUCUAACCAGAAUUCAGCAGAGAUAGACUAGUUGAAGUGAGAAAGUGGUUCAUUGGUGGCAACAACUGUGAGAACUAGUGAGAAUUACUAUUGAUGCAUUGGUGUAUCUCUUAAAAGUAACUGCUGGUGUUUAAUUUGCGGAUCAAAAUUUCAAGCUUGAGAGGAAAUUGACAUAAUAAUACCUCUCACCAGAAUUCAGCAGAGAUAGACUAGUUGAAGUGAGAAAGGGGUUCUUUGGUACCAACAACUGUGAGAACUUGAGAGGAAAUUGACAUAACAAUACCUCUAACCAGAAUUCAGCAGAGAUAGACUAGUUGAAGUGAGAAAGGGGUUCAUUGGUGGCAACAACUGUGAGAAUUAGUGAGAAUUACUGUUGAUGCAUUGGUGUAUCUCUUAAAAGUAACUGCUGGUGUUUAAUUUGCGGAUCAAAAUUUCAAGCUUGAGAGGAAAUUGACAUAACAAUACCUCUAACCAGAAUUCAGCAGAGAUAGACUAGUUGAAGUGAGAAAGGGGUUCUUUGGUGACAACAACUGUGAGAACUAGUGAGAAUUACUGUUGAUGCAUUGAUAUAUCUCUUGGUUGGGAAAGCUCUUCGUUGUAGAUUUUCAAAAAUAAAGCAGAAGCAAAGGAGUGUUUGUGGUUGCUAUCCAACUUUUUAACAAAAGCCUCAUAUAUAUAAUGGAUUUCAAUGAUGAUAAUGAGCUAUUGAGUUCAUUAGUCUAGUUUUUAUUUAUGGAUCAUUGGUUUAAACUCAUACUAUUUAGUAUUUUUUUAAAAAAAUUUCUGACUAGUUCUUUAAUUGCUUGUUUAUGGUUUUAGGAUUCUUGUAACAUGCAUAUUGAUAUGUGGUGAUCUCAUUCUUCUUUUGGAUGGACUCAUACUCUAAGUAAGGGAUCACUUAUGUUUCCUGUUUGCUACUCUAUUUGCUUUGUUGUAUUUUUUGAUAAUUGAUUUUAAAGUUAAUAACUGCAAAAAAUGAUUAUUUAAGAAUAUAUGGGGAACAAGUCUACCUGCAUAAGGAUGCAAUUGGAUGUUUACGUCAGAGAAAUUGUUUGUUUCUUUUAGUAAUAUGGGAUGGCCUAUCUCAUACUUAUAAGCAUGGUUUAUUUCUUUUAUUAAUAUGAGAGGUCUAUCUCAUACUUAUAAAUAGUCUAUAUAAUUUAGAUGGUUAUAUUUGUUUAAUAGAUUUUAGUUUCAUAGAUUUUGAAUAUGAUUCAUCCCCAAAACCAAUAUUUUUUUUUCCACACUUUAUCUAACAUUAAAAUCAUAUUAUACUGUUUUCCAAUAUCAUUUCAUCAGAAGGUUCAUUUUCCCCUUGAUCUACAUUGAGAUGAAGUUCUUCUUGGAUCUCAUCAAUAUCUUCAUUAUCAUUUUGAUGUUCAACCUCAUUUUCCUCAUUAUCAUUUUGAUGUUCAAUCUUAUUUUUCUUAUUAGAUAUAUUGAUCCCAUUUUCCUCAUUAGAUAUAUUGAUAUAUUUAAAACUAAUUGCUGGUGUUUAAUUUGUGGAUCAAAAUUUCAAGUUUGAGAGGAAAUUGACAUAACAAUACCUCUAACCAGAAUUCAGCAGAGAUAGACUAGUUGAAGUGAGAAAGGGGUUCAUUGGUAGCAACAACUGUGAGAACUAGUGAGAAUUACUGUUGAUGCAUUGGUGUAUUUCUUAAAAAUAAUUGCUGGUGUUUAAUUUGCGGAUCAAAAUUUCAAGCUUGAGAGGAAAUUGACAUAACAAUACCUCUAACCAGAAUUCAGCAAAGAUAGACUAGUUGGAGUGAGAAAGGGAUUCUUUGGUGGCAACAACUGUGGGAACUACUAUUGAUGCAUUGAUGUAUCUCUUAAAAGUAAUUGCUGGUGUUUAAUUUGUGGAUAAAAAUUUCAAGCUUGAGAGGAAAUUGACAUAACAAUAUCUAUAACCAGAAUUCAGCAGAGAUAGACUAGUUGAAGUGAGAAAGGGGUUCUUUGGUG